rnacentral:rRNA from 1 species
UACGUAGGGUCCAAGCGUUGUCCGGAUUUAUUGGGCGUAAAGCGUGCGUAGGCGGUUAUCCAAGUCUGAUGUUAAAGCUGGGAGCUCAACUCCUGUGAUGCAUUGGAAACUGGGUGACUGGAGUGCGGUAGGGGAAGGUGGAAUUCCGAGUGUAGCGGUGAAAUGCGCAGAUACCAGGAGGAACACCGGUGGCGAAGGCGGUUCUCUGGGCAUGUCCUGACGCUGAGGAGUGAAAGUGUGGGGAGCGAACAGG